rnacentral:rRNA from 1 species
AACGAACGCUGGCGGCAUGCCUAACACAUGCAAGUCGAACGAGACCUUCGGGUCUAGUGGCGCACGGGUGCGUAACGCGUGGGAACCUGCCCUUAGGUUCGGAAUAACUCCCCGAAAGGGGUGCUAAUACCGGAUAAUGUCUUCGGACCAAAGAUUUAUCGCCUUUGGAUGGGCCCGCGUUGGAUUAGCUAGUUGGUGGGGUAAAGGCCUACCAAGGCGACGAUCCAUAGCUGGUCUUAGAGGAUGAUCAGCCACACUGGGACUGAGACACGGCCCAGACUCCUACGGGAGGCAGCAGUGGGGAAUAUUGGACAAUGGGCGAAAGCCUGAUCCAGCAAUGCCGCGUGAGUGAUGAAGGCCCUAGGGUUGUAAAGCUCUUUUACCAGGGAUGAUAAUGACAGUACCUGGAGAAUAAGCUCCGGCUAACUCCGUGCCAGCCGCCGCCGUAA